rnacentral:lncRNA from 1 species
AUUGAAGCAUUAUUAUAAGCUCCAGAGUACACGUCUUCUGUGGAUUUUCAGUCGUACUUACAAUUUCAUGCUCAGAAGAGGCCUUUAGUAUAUAUUUUGCAGUGUCUUCUGUGAAGUCAAAUUUCUGCUCAGAUCUUUAUAAACAACGAGUGGCAGAACUCAGAGAGUGGGAGAGUGUUCCCUGUCUAUAAUCCAGCCACAGGAGAACAGGUGUGUGAAGUUCAAGAAGCAGACAAGAUAUAGACAAAGCAGUGCAGGCAGCCCGCCUGGCUUUCUCUCUUGGUUCAGUGUGGAGAAGGAUGGAUGCUUCAGAAAGGGGACGUCUGUUGGAUAAGCUUGCAGACUUGGUGGAACGGGACAGGGCAGUUCUUGCAACCAUGGAAUCCCUAAAUGGUGGCAAACCAUUCCUGCAAGCUUUUUAUGUGGAUUUGCAGGGCGUCAUCAAAACCUUUCGAUAUUACGCAGGCUGGGCUGAUAAAAUUCAUGGGAUGACCAUUCCUGUAGAUGGAGACUAUUUUACCUUUACAAGACAUGAACCCAUUGGAGUGUGUGGA